rnacentral:rRNA from 1 species
AGAGUUUGAUCCUGGCUCAGAACGAACGCUGGCGGCAGGCUUAACACAUGCAAGUCGAACGCCCCGCAAGGGGAGUGGCAGACGGGUGAGUAACGCGUGGGAAUCUACCCAUCUCUACGGAAUAACUCAGGGAAACUUGUGCUAAUACCGUAUACGCCCUUCGGGGGAAAGAUUUAUCGGAGAUGGAUGAGCCCGCGUUGGAUUAGCUAGUUGGUGGGGUAAAGGCCUACCAAGGCGACGAUCCAUAGCUGGUCUGAGAGGAUGAUCAGCCACAUUGGGACUGAGACACGGCCCAAACUCCUACGGGAGGCAGCAGUGGGGAAUAUUGGACAAUGGGCGCAAGCCUGAUCCAGCCAUGCCGCGUGAGUGAUGAAGGCCCUAGGGUUGUAAAGCUCUUUCACCGAUGAAGAUAAUGACUGUAGUCGGAGAAGAAGCCCCGGCUAACUUCGUGCCAGCCGCCGCGGUAAUAC